CUACGGGCGGCAGCAGUGGGGAAUCUUGGACAAUGGGCGCAAGCCUGAUCCAGCCAUGCCGCGUGAGUGAAGAAGGCCUUAGGGUCGUAAAGCUCUUUCGCCAGAGAUGAUAAUGACAGUAUCUGGUAAAGAAACCCCGGCUAACUCCGUGCCAGCAGCCGCGGUAAUACGGAGGGGGUUAGCGUUGUUCGGAAUUACUGGGCGUAAAGCGCGCGUAGGCGGAUUAGUCAGUCAGAGGUGAAAUCCCAGGGCUCAACCCUGGAACUGCCUUUGAUACUGCUAGUCUUGAGUUCGAGAGAGGUGAGUGGAAUUCCGAGUGUAGAGGUGAAAUUCGUAGAUAUUCGGAGGAACACCAGUGGCGAAGGCGGCUCACUGGCUCGAUACUGCCGCUGAGGUGCGAAAGUGUGGGGAGCAAACAGGAUUAGAUACCCCCGUAGUC
rnacentral:rRNA from 1 species